rnacentral:rRNA from 1 species
GACGAACGCUGGCGGCGUGCUUAACACAUGCAAGUCGAACGAAGUGGCGCACGGGUGAGUAACGCGUAAACAACCUGCCCUUCAGAGGGGGACAACAGUUGGAAACGACUGCUAAUACCGCAUACAGAAGGUGGGGAGUGCGUUUGAUUGGCUAGUUGGAGGGGAAACGGCCCACCAAGGCGAUGAUCAGUAGCCGGUCUGAGGGGAUGAACGGCCACAUUGGGACUUGGACACGGCCCAGACUCCUACGGGAGGCAGCAGUGGGGAAUCUUCCGCAAUUGACGAAAGUCUGACGGAUCAACGCCGCGUGAGUGAUGACGGCCUUCGGGUUGUAAAGCUCUGUUAAUCGGGACGCGGUACCGGAAUAGAAAGCCACGGCUAACUACGUGCCAGCAGCCGCGGUAAUUC